rnacentral:rRNA from 1 species
GACGAACGCUGGCGGCGUGCUUAACACAUGCAAGUCGAACGGAAAGGCCCUUCGGGGUACUCGAGUGGCGAACGGGUGAGUAACACGUGGGUGAUCUGCCCUGCACUUUGGGAUAAGCCUGGGAAACUGGGUCUAAUACCGAAUAGGACCGCGCGCUUCAUGGUGUGUGGUGGAAAGCUUUUGCGGUGUGGGAUGGGCCCGCGGCCUAUCAGCUUGUUGGUGGGGUAAUGGCCUACCAAGGCGACGACGGGUAGCCGGCCUGAGAGGGUGACCGGCCACACUGGGACUGAGAUACGGCCCAGACUCCUACGGGAGGCAGCAGUGGGGAAUAUUGCACAAUGGGCGCAAGCCUGAUGCAGCGACGCCGCGUGAGGGAUGACGGCCUUCGGGUUGUAAACCUCUUUCACCAGGGACGAAGCGCAAGUGGCGGUACCUGGAGAAGAAGCACCGGCCAACUACGUG